rnacentral:rRNA from 1 species
UACGAAGGGGGCUAGCGUUGCUCGGAAUCACUGGGCGUAAAGCGCACGUAGGCGGAUCUUUAAGUCAGGGGUGAAAUCCCAAGGCUCAACCUUGGAACUGCCUUUGAUACUGGGGGAUCUCGAGUCCGGAAGAGGUUGGUGGAACUGCGAGUGUAGAGGUGAAAUUCGUAGAUAUUCGGAAGAACACCAGUGGCGAAGGC